ACCAUUGAAUCAGAGGAAUUCUUAAAACCAAAGCCUUUCUUGAAGAAGUCUAUUCCUAAACUACCAUUUGAUCCCAAAUUCAAGAAACCAUUUCUACCACCAUUGUCUUUUAAGAAGCCAAUUCCAGCUCCUUAAAAUCAUAACACUCUACCUCUUCAAAAUAUAAGGAUAAUGGUUUUAUAUAUGUGGCACCAUCUUUAGUUCAACCUCAAUCAUAAUUUGGAUAAUCCUUUGGUACCCCUCUUGUGUACUCCAUUCCAAUUAUAUAUGUACUUUAUGUUUUUCAUUAAUGAAUUUCUCAAUAUUAUAUUAAUUAAAAUAACAAAUGUUACUGAGUUUGCAUUUUUAUUUAAUUAGUAUUUCCAUUUGACAUAUUGAAGAAGUGGGCUAUUUAAUUGUAAUUUUGGGUAAAAGUGAUAUAACUAUUUUUACACAACACUUCAAUUCUACAAAUUGAAUUAAUAAUCUUAAUUUGAGCACUUAUAAUAUUACAACCAAAUAACACUAAAUUAGGUCAUAGGGUGUUUGUAGAUGAAAAUGGUUAAAUAAUUUUUAAUGAACUUUAAAACCAUUGGACUCAAUUUGAACCAUUAGAGGAAGUGAAUGUUUGAUGGAUGACUACUAAAAUAUUUUCUUUAAGAGAUUGCAUGAUAAAUGUUAGUCACAACUUAAAUUUAGAUAGAUGUACUAUCUAAGAGCGUUUUCCAUAAUUUUUUUUUUCAAAUUUCUUAUUUUACUAAUAGUUACAUAUAAAAAGACAUGUAAUCUGAGAAAAAGGAAAGAAGAAUUUACACUGUUUUUAUACUAACUUGUCUAGACUACAUUUAGUUUUCAAUUGAUUGAUUAAGUUUCAUUAGGAAGACUACAACUACAUGAUACAAAUGUGUACUAUUUGGAUCUCAGUCAUUUAUUUUAAAGCUGAGUAUUAUUUAGUCAUUAGUCACUUUUGGCUAAGAUUGGAUAUCGUUUAUAACACAAUCACUCUUGAUUAAAACUAAGUACUGUUUGGAACGUAGACAUUCCUAACCAAAGAUAUAUAUUAUUUGAAAUGUAAUCACUUCACCAUAAGAAAAAAUAUUGUUUGAAACAAAAACCUUCUUAACUAAAAUUAAGUAUUAUUUUAAACAAAAAUUAGGUAUUAUUUGAAACAUAAUCACUUCUACCUAAGACUAAACAUUACUUUAAACAUAAUCAAGUAUUAUAUAAAACAUAACCAUUCUUAGCUAACGUGUAUAAGACUUACAAAGGAUGUGGUUUAAAAGAUCACAAGUUCACUCACUGGAAAAAAAGAUAACAUCGUAUUAUGUAUGCAAAGUUUAAACACUCUUCAACAUUGCUAAUGAACACGAACAAUAUUCUUUCUCAAAACCACUUCCAUUGUUGUCAGCCUUCCUUAUUCAAAGAGAUAUUUUAUUUAGAAGAUACGACAACCUCUAGUUGUUCAAGGAUGGAGUACUUGGAUUAGAGAUAGGAACUUGUGGUCUUUGUUGAUGUAAACAUAACUUCAUAACUGAUUUGUGUCUCUCAGUUACUGUGUGCUCAUGCACACCAUAUAUACUUCAUUUUUCGUUUCAUUCAAUAACACAGUUCUAGUAUUCUUCUUUUGUAAUACAUCUUUCUUCUUUGCAUAAUCAUAAUAUUAGCUGCGCUAACAAUGGUAUUAGUAGUUCUGGUUUGAAACUUGGUGGGUCAGCUCAAGACAAUCAAGAAGAUGGCCGGCAUAUUACACAACAACCUUCCCGUGUUUGACGGAAAAAGGGUUUGACUAUUGGUGCGUCAAAAUGGAAGUCAUUCUUGGCUAUCAAGAGGUUGACGAGAUUGUCAAAAGGGGCUUCAAGGAACUAGUGAAGGGUGACGUCGAAAAAACAAAGCGAUAUAAAGAAAAUAAGCGAUUAGACUGCAAGGCCCAUAUGCUCCUACAUAAGUGUGUGUCGGUUGCUAUCUUUCAGAAGAUCUUGAAAGUGGCCACGACAAAAGAAGAAUGGGACAUCUUGUAGGGGAUAUGGUAAUUCUGGCAAGGUGAAGAAGGUUCGUUUGCAAUCCUUGCAACGACAAUACGAACUUCUGUGCAUGGGCGAGCAAGAAAUCGUUGUAGACUACAUUGGAAGGAUUCAAGUCAUUGUAAAUGCGAUGAGAUCAUGCGACAAAGUUGUGAAAGACAAGAAAAUAGUCGAGAAAAUUCUCAGAACCUUGACACCCCAGUUUGACUAUAUCAUCGUUGUGAUAGAAGAGUGCAAAAAUCUUGAAGUGAUGAAGGUGGAGGAAUUACAGAAUUCGCUAGAGGCACAUGAACAAAGAUUAAUCGAAAGAAGAAAUGCAGAGAAAGAAGUGCAUCAGGUAUGAACCAAGCCCUACAGGCCAGAAGUAGUUAGAAAACCAAAGGACGUGGAAGUGGAAGAGGUAGAGGUCGUGCUCGAGGAGGUUGAACAGGAGGGAGAAACUCAAGUGUUUCUAACCAAAAAGAUGAAGAUGAAAGUAGUGAAAACAAGAACGACAGCAAGAGCAGCGGAAAACACUCAAGAGGGAGUGGAAGAAGUAAGGUUGACAAAAGAAACAUACAAUGUUACACAUGCAGUAAGUUCAGACAUUAUUCAUCCGAAUGCUGGCAUAACAAAGCGGUGAAGAAAAGCAAAGGAAAUGAGGAGGCUAAUCUUGCGCAAGAUGCAGAUGAUUUUGAUUUUGAUCACGUGUUAUUAAUGAGUACAAUCGAAGAUAACGAAGAUGGGUGCAAGAAUGGUGAUUCUGCAUGCGACAACAUGUGUAACGAGUGCAAGAACGAUGACUCUGCAUGCGACAAGUGUUGCAAGGUUGAACACGUGUCGUUAGCUGACGAAACAAAUCAUGCAGAAGAUGAAUCCUGCUGGUACUUAGAAACAGGUUGCUCCAACCAUAUGACUGAGAAGAAAGAUUUAUUGUUAGAUUUGGACCCGAGUAUCAAAAGCAGCGUGCAAUUCGUUGAUGAUAGUGUGAUCAUGGCUGAAGGAGCUGAAAGAAUCAUGACCAAACAAAAAGAUGGACAAUCGGCCUACAUGAAUAAUGUCUUGUAUGUUCCAAACAUGAUUGCUGAGUUUGGGGCAACUUCUCGAAAAAGGCUAUACAAUGACGAUGCGCUAGAAACACAUAGACGUAUUCGAUGAAAAGCAACAACUUGUUCUUAGAGCCCCACUUUCCAGAAAUAGAACAUUUAAGGUAAAUCUUAAUGUCAUUGUCGUUCAAUGCUUGACUGCUAUUGAUUCCAGGGAAGAAGUUUGAUUAUGGUACUACCGGUUCAGGCACUUGAACUUUAGAAGUCUAAAGCUGUUGAAGAGCAAAGACCUUGUAAAAGGAGCUCCUGAGAUACAAAUCCCUGACAAAGUGUGUGAAGGAUGUGCUGUUGGGAAGCAGACCAGAACAAAGUUUAAACAAACCAUGUACAAGAGAGCAAAGCAACCACUUGCUGUUGUCUACUCAGAUGUAUGCGACCCAUUUGAUGUGGAGAGAAUAGGAGGUAAUAAAUACUUCUUUCUUUUCAUAGAUGAGUGGACUAGGAAGAUGUGGGUUUACUUGAUCAAAGAAAAUAAGAACAUAUACUUAUGCUUUGUAAAAUUUUGUGCUAUUGUGGGGAGGGAAUCUGGUUUGCAGGUGAGGAUUUUCAGCACAGACAGUGGAGGAGAAUUCAACUCACUUGAAAUCAAUGAGUUUUUUCACCAACAAAGGUAUCGUGCAUGAAGUGGUAGCACCGUACACACCCCAACACAAUGGUCUUGCAGAGAGAAGGAAUCAGAUGCUGCUUGACAUGACCAGAUGCAUGCUUAAAGCAAAGAAGCUACCACACUGUUUGUGAGGAGAAGCCAUUGAUAAAACAACUCAUUUACUGAAUAGGAGUCCAACCAAAUCAUUGCCUAACUGCACUCUAGAGGAAGCUUGGUCAGGAGUUAAACCUACAGUUAAGAAUCUGCGUGUUUUUGGGUCUACAUGUUACAAAUAUACAUCGGAUGAAAGAAAGAAGAAGUUAGAUGAUAUAAGUGAGAUGCUUAUCCUCGUUGAGUAUCACUCAGCUGGUGCUUAUAGAAUGUAUGAUCCGAGGAAAAAUCAGAUAAUUAUGAGUAAAGAUUUUAUAGUGGAUGAAGAAAACAGUUUUGAUUGGAAGACGACAGAAGCCGAACCAGACUUUGUUCAAGGUAUUUUAGAAGACAAUCGUGCUGAAAAAAAACAAGUAGUUGGAGGCAAUGAAGGAAACAACAGAAGGUCACAAAGAGCUAGAUUUCCCUCAACGAGGUUGUCAAGGCAUGAAGUGUUUCCAGACCGUGAUGUUUUAGAUUCUGGAGACUUUGCUCAUCUUGCAUUUCUGGUAGAUGCAUAGCCUAUUACUUGGAGGCAAAACAUUGACAUGAAGGAGUGGAAGGAAGCAAUGAUUGAAGAGUUAAGGUCCAUUGAAAGGAAAAGAACAUGGGACAUGGUUGAACUACCUCAGCAUAAGCGAGCAAUUGAGGUAAAAUGGGUCUUCAAGACCAAGUAUAAAGCAGGUGGUGAGAUAGCUAAGCUAAAGGCCAGACUAGUAGUGAAGGGGUUUCUGCAGCAGCAAGGAGUUGAUUAUACAAAUGUUUAUGCACCAAUUGCAAGGUUUGAGACAGUGAGACUCGUGAUAGCGGUUGCUAGCCGGAAUAACUAGAGAAUUCAGCAGUUAGAUGUGAAGAGUAUGACGCGAAUACAAAGGUAAUAUCGUACUAUUAGUACUUGUAGAUAUCCAUUACUAAAAAAAAUUAAAAUUAUAUUUAUAUUAUAUUAGGUUAAAUUUCAUUAAAAUUAAAAUUAAAUUUUAAUUUAUGUUAUAUUAUAUAUUUUUUGUAAUUUAAUUUAGAUUUUAUUUUUAGUUUUAUAAAAUAUAAUUUUUUUUUUAAAUAUCUACGGGUAUCAAGGAUACUUGCAUGUUUUAAAACAUGUGGAUAUUUUUUAAAUAGGUAUCGGACAAGUAGGAAAUAAGUAACAGGUGAAUUUUCUUGUUGCGGGAUCGGGUAAUUGAUAGACACUAUCUUCAUACUUAGGGAUGACAACGGGUCGGGUCGGGCAUAGAUAGUGCCUACCCGCAACCCGACCGUUGGAUAAAAUUGUAUCCGCUACCUGUCCCAUUACCCUCUAGAUACCAGCUUUAAAAAAAUCUGUGGAUUUUUUUAACUCGUGGAUACCCGUUGGAUACCCGUUUUCAACACGCGAAUAUUUAAAAAAAAAUUAUUUUAUAAGUUUUUAAUGAGGUUCGCUUACGUGCACAAGGUUUUCGGGGCCAACAAUGUGGCCAAGCUUCUCAAUGAACUCAGCGUCUCGCAGCGAGACGACACCGUAAAGUCGCUCGCUUAUGAGGCUGAGCCGCGUCGACCCCGACUAUGGCUGCGUGGGCCUCAUCUUCGUCCUACAACGCAGGCUCAAGCAGAUCCAGGUGGAACUCAACAGUGCAAAGAAGGAACUCGCAACAUACGUCGGUCCCCAAGCUUUUCAGGGCUUACCCGCCCCCAUUUUCCAGCGACACCCAAACAACCCUUUUUCCGGUUCCCUGUAUGGGAGCAUGGCGAGGGUGAUGACAGCCGCUCACGGUGGGCAACUGAUGAUUCAUGAUGACCAUUCCCCGCAAUAGCAUCAGAUCUUGGAGGCCCAGCAGUUCGCUGCGGCUGUGGUGGCGAGGAAGCUGCAGGAGAUGUUCAGGGGUUACGAGCAUCAACAGCGGCAAGAGGCACGUUCUGCGUAGGGGUUGCAAAGAGGCACGUGGGAUGUAGAAUGAGGUAAAGAAGGAGAACUAAAAUCAUAAAACCUAAUUUAAAUUGAGGAUAAAAAAGUAAUUUAACUUUUUAGCGGGUAACAGGUACCCGCAGGUAUUAAUAAUGUAAUACCCGAACUCGACUCGAUAAUGAGUGCGUAUUAAAAAAUCUGCUACUCGCUACCCGUGGGUACUUAUUACCCGCGGGUACUUACUAUUCACAACGGGUUUAAUCCGCAGAUACCCGCGGGAACGAAUUUUUUUGCCAUCCCUAUCCACUUGACCCAAACUCAUUGUCAUCCUUAUACUCUACCUUUGAUCAAUCAAGGACUAAAUCCAUCUUAAAUAAAGAGUACCAACUUCUAAACACGAGGUCUAAGUUGUUCGAUCCAAUCUAAGUUCAUUAAUAUUUUCAGUUACUAUUAUUUUUAGGGUUAAAUAUGUUUUUGGUCCCUUAACUUUUAGUGAAAAUUGGAAUUAGGCACUCUUUGAAACUUUGGACUAAUUUAGUCCCUUAUCUUUAAAACUGCUUGAAUUUAGUCUCUUUAACCAAAUUUUGUUAAGUUUAUUUGAGGUUUCAAAUGCAUUUCUCAAUUAACAUUGAAGAAAAAAUGUGUUAAACAGUGUAAAAAACUCAAAUGCUAUCAUGAAAUACGUUUGAAAUGUCAAAUAAACUUGGCAAAAUUUGGUUAAAAGGACUAAGUCCACAUAUUUUUAAAGUUGAGGAACUAAAUUGGGUCAAAGUUUCGAGGAGAGACUAAUUCCAAUUUUUACUAAAAAUUAAGGAAAAAAAAAUAUGUAACCCUUAUUUUUAUUAUGUUAGUUAUAUUGUUAUUAUUAACAGAACUUAUGUGUCUAAUAAAUUUUAUAUAUAUAUAUAUAUAUAUAUAUAUAUAUAUAUAUAUAUAUAUAUAUAUAUAUAAUUUAUAACAGAAGCAAGUACACACUGUUCAUUAUUGAACACUCUUCCCAUUUAUGAUCCACACUCUUUUAGUGACUAAAAUAUCAGAGUUUCUUUGUAGGUACAUAUCUUUUUUUUUUUGCUCAGUUCAAACUAACUAUUUAACGGCGACAACCUAGUUUGGAAAGAUUGUUGACUCUCCUCAAAGAUUCGGUAGACCUCGGUAAGAACAACAGCGAAAAUAAACUUCAAGAUAACUCAGUCGUUAAAGUUACUGGUUUUAUAUAGUUAAGAUUGUUGAAGUGUAUGAUAUUGGUGAUGUAAUGAACAAUGGUUGAGUACCUCAUAUCAAUAUUAAUGUAAAAUCUACAAAAUAAAGGAAGUAAGAAGCUCCCACAAUAGUAUUACUCUAAGUGUAUACAAUAAUAAAAUAUAUAAAAUCUGCUUUGUCAUGUUGCAUUUGAACCUUCUGAAGUUAUGCAGUUUUGAACACACAAAACCCAGCAGACUCAUUUAUUGAAGACAGCAUUCCUCAUUAACACAGCUACAAUAACGGUGUUAUUAAACUCUUCUCACCUCUCCAAACAUAGGUCAAAGUUGCAACCACCCACAUUAUAAUCCGAAACCAAAUCUAAAAUUUCGGAGUGCAUUUCAUAGCAUGUAAUGACCAAUGACCAACUAAUCCCAAGCUAAGUAUUAUAAAUAGUAUGUUUAUGCAACAACUAUGACUCAAGCCUUCACACAUUUCCCCUUUUAGUUUCCAUCAGUUGUUUUAGCAAUGAGAAAGGGUUCUAUUCUCCACUCUGCACUUUUGUGCUUCUGGGUUCCCUUGUUGCUCCUUGUCACCUUCACUUAUGCUACUUCUGCUUUCGCCACAACUCAAAUUUCAGGUUUACACAUUACUCCCUUUUAGGCUUUUAUACCAGGUUUUCUUUUCUGUAACGUGUCAAUAAAGUUUCAAACACAUUGAAAAUACCAAUUACAAAUCAUUCUCAUUUUUGUAUAUGAUGUUUGUUUGUCAUUCAUCCUUAAAAAAAUGUGUUUCUUUUUUAUAACCACAUUUUCUAUACUGUGUUCGUUUUUGUUAUUUAAUAUAACUGCAUUUUUUAUGCAGGAAAUGAAGUGAACGAGAAUGGGAUAGUUGUGAAUGAAGAUUUAGAAAAAGUAAAUGCAGAAGGACAUGAUGAUGAAGAAUCAAAAUUCAAAGGAUUGUUUCCUAAACCAAUUCCAUUUGCUAAACCUAUUCCAAAGNNNNNNNNNNNNNNNNNNNNNNNNNNNNNNNNNNNNNNNNNNNNNNNNNNNNNNNNNNNNNNNNNNNNNNNNNNNNNNNNNNNNNNNNNNNNNNNNNNNNNNNNNNNNNNNNNNNNNNNNNNNNNNNNNNNNNNNNNNNNNNNNNNNNNNNNNNNNNNNNNNNNNNNNNNNNNNNNNNNNNNNNNNNNNNNNNNNNNNNNNNNNNNNNNNNNNNNNNNNNNNNNNNNNNNNNNNNNNNNNNNNNNNNNNNNNNNNNNNNNNNNNNNNNNNNNNNNNNNNNNNNNNNNNNNNNNNNUACCAUUGAAUCAGAGGAAUUCUUAAAACCAAAGCCUUUCUUGAAGAAGUCUAUUCCUAAACUACCAUUUGAUCCCAAAUUCAAGAAACCAUUUCCGCCAAUUCCAACUCCAUAGAAUGAUGAUAACACCCAUUGCACCUAAUAAGCAAUAAAGCUAUUAUAUCUUCCAUUACUGAGUGUGUUGAUUUAUAUUCCAAUCACAACCAUUAGUUUCUUAAUCCUAUUGUAUCCCUCUCCUUAAUAAAAUUUACAUCACUAUUACCCUUUGUAAAAUUAGUAUCUUAAAGUAAGAAAUGAUAUUACUGAUUUCUCAUUUUAGUUUAUUGUUUUUGUUCUUUAGAAUUUGUUUCCUAAUGUUUUGAACGUUCUCCAUUUAUCAUCUCUUGG
rnacentral:lncRNA from 1 species